UACGUAGGGGGCAAGCGUUGUCCGGAUUUAUUGGGCGUAAAGGGUGCGCAGGCGGCCAAGUGUGUCAGGUGUGAAAUCCCGAGGCUUAACCUCGGAACUGCGCCUGAAACUACUUGGCUAGAGUACUGGAGAGGGUAACGGAAUUCACGGUGUAGCAGUGAAAUGCGUAGAUAUCAGGAGGAACACCGGUGGUGUAGACGGCUUUCUGGACCGUAACUGACGCUGAGACACGAAAGCGUGGGUAGCAAACAGG
rnacentral:rRNA from 1 species